UGCACUCCAGAUAUCCCACUCCGCCAUGACAGAUCAACGACAAAAACAACCAAUCUGCUUCUAACCAGUCUAAAAACAGACAUCUGUAACCUAAUAUCGCUUCUAUAUAGUUGAUUUCACUUUAAAAUGGUCAUAGCAUGCACAAACAGACAUGGAUAAAAACCAAACCUGUCAUUUUCUUUUAUAAAUUUUAAUGAGGAAAGAUACUGCGGCGAUGGAUAACAGCAGUCAGUCAUAAUGACGGUCAGCCCUCGGUGUAAUCCCGGAUUUGCAGCGAAAACUUUUUACAAGUUCUUACCUGCGCUCUCGGUGCGGCACAGGCUGUUGGUGCUGCCGUGUGAUGAAGGUGGUUCCCCACACCGGACUGCUGUGGCUGUUUCUGAGCCAGCCCACAGGGGGCGACGACGGGUAGGAGAAGUUGACGAGGGAUCCAGAUCUGAAGCAGGUGGAGCACACCGAGGUCCUCAAACACAGCACAGAUUUCCUCCUGGGCUCAGGUACAAACGGGCUGCUCACAAAUGUUGGUGAUCUGCAGGUAGACGAUCCAAAGCCGGAUGCAUUUCCCAGAGUUCAUGCGAAAAGUUCUGAAUAGUUGGAGCAUUUUUACUGAUUCCAGAGGUUGAAAUGUAGUUUUUCUGAUGCAAAGCCUUGCAAUUCUCUGCUUGCAUCUUUUAGGCUUGCGACAUUCUGCAGCAAAUCUUGUACAUAGCGUAUGAUAAGUCCUUGGAAGCGCUUCCUGUCUUCUCUAUGAGACAUGCUCAGAAAAUCAGCGUUAAACACCUGGAAUAUUUAGUGCAUCCACAGAUAAAUGCAGAUAAAAUGAGAUAAAGGGAAAGUGAUUUUAUCGCCUGUCAGAGGUCUGCACUUCAGACAACCUUCAGCUGCUGGUUCUGCUGCAGGCUUCACGAAAAUUCAAGACUUCCUUCAUCACUGCCCGAGUAAAAACAGCUUACUUUAAUAAUCCCACUUAUCUGACAGCAAAGAAGAUAUUCUGAUGAAUGAAUUAAAAAUAUAUAAAUAAA